GAGCAAAGGGAGGAAGAGGUAUUGCUGACGUCCAGAGGCCAAAGCAGGAAGUGGAAGCUGGAAUCACGUGGGUGUAACUAGCAGGAUCUUGAGCUACAGAAAAGAGAUUGGUGGCGGUGAAGAGAUCCAAAGCAAACUUCCUAUGAUAUUUGGGGACAAUGAGAAACACAGGUGUAGUGCUCAUGAACCCUUUGAGUUUGCUGUCGUUCUUGCCAUUUCCAAAGGCUGUUGCUGCUGUGUGACAGAUCUGCUCUCCCUCUCCAUAUAGCACAAACCUGUGGUGAAGAGGAAGCCUAGAAUAUGGAAAGAUCAUGGCACUGGAGUUCUGGUUUGAGAAUGUCCCAGAUGUCGGAUCCAGGGAAAGUUUUUUACCUUCUCAACCCCUAAUCCUUCUUCUGUAAGAUACCAUAUAGAGACAUGGAAUGGAUGACCUCAAUUAAGAAGAGUGAGGAGUGAAAGAAGAGACCCAGAAUGGAGCCCUGGGGAGCUUCAACAUUUGGAGGACAAAUAGAUGGAAGAUUAGCCCUGAGCUAACUGCUGCAAAUCCUCCUCUUUUUGCUGAGGAAGACUGGCCCUGAGCUAACAUCCGUGCCCAUCUUCCUCUACUUUAUACAUGGGAUGCCUACCACAGCAUGGCUUUUGCCAAGCGGAGCCAAGUCCGCACCCGGGAUCCAAACUGGCGAAGCCGGGCCGCCGAAGCGGAACAUGCGCACUUAACUGCUGCGCCACCGAGCCGGCCCCAUUUAUAGUGUUUUUAAAUACAGGAAACAAAGAAGACAGCAAAAAUAUCACUGACAAACUCCCAGCCUCUGUUGAGUCUUAUAAAGAGUAAUAUAAAUGUAAGGUUAGAUCAUUUGAACAAUACAAAAUGAACAGGGAAAGUCGAGUGAUGCUUGCUCCCCACACUUCCCCCCUCUCUCUUGCAAUCUCUCUCCAGGGACACUUGCUAUGAGCUAACUGUAAUGCUGGGCUGUGGUAUGAUUUUUAAUGCCUCUGUUUACUGCUGGAAAAUGUUAUCAAAUGAAAACAAGUCAUAUACCCUUGGAUAGCUUUUUAAAGAGAAUUGAGCUAGCCAAAUCUUGUCCAAACACAAAUAUUCUAAAUGGUCCAAUAAGAUUAUUGUUCAUUAGGUAUUGAAGUAAAGAUUACUCUAGUUCAUUUAUUAAUUUUAAGUCAAACUUAUGCUGCAUAAUACUGCAUCCUUAAAUGUCAAAUA
rnacentral:lncRNA from 1 species